UACGUAGGGGGCGAGCGUUGUCCGGAAUCAUUGGGCGUAAAGCGCGUGUAGGCGGUUCGGUAAGUCUGCUGUGAAAGUCCAGGGCUCAACCCUGGGAUGCCGGUGGAUACUGCUGAACUAGAGUGCGGAAGAGGCGAGUGGAAUUCCCGGUGUAGCGGUGAAAUGCGCAGAUAUCGGGAGGAACACCAAUUGCGAAGGCAGCUCGCUGGGACGUUACUGACGCUGAGACGCGAAAGCGUGGGGAGCAAACAGG
rnacentral:rRNA from 1 species